GUCCCUGUAAGGCUAUGGCUAGAGCGUUGGACUUCUAAUCCAAAGGUCGUGGGUUCGAAUCCCACCUGGGACG